rnacentral:rRNA from 1 species
UGAAUACGAGACGCUAAGGCGUCGAAGUAGUGUAUGUCAUACUUCCAAGAAAAGCUUGCACUGUCAUAAAUAAAAAUGCCUGUACCAUAACCGACACAGGUGGGUAGGUAGAGUAUACUAAGGGGCGCGAGAUAACUCUCUCUAAGGAACUCGGCAAAAUAACUCCGUAACUUCGGGAGAAGGAGUGCCUUAUUCUUAAGGUUGCAAUAACAAGAUCCAAGCAACUGUUUAUCAAAAACACAGGUCUCCGCUAAGUCGCAAGACGAUGUAUGGGGGCUGACGCCUGCCCAGUGCCAGAAGGUUAAAGAAGUUGGUUAGCUUUUGCGAAGCUGAUAACUGAAGCCCUGGUGAACGGCGGCCGUAACAAUAACGGUCCUAAGGUAGCGAAAUUCCUUGUCGGGUAAGUUCCGACCCGCACGAAAGGCGUAAUGAUUUGGAUACUGUCUCGGAGAGGGGCUCGGUGAAAUAGACUUGUCUGUGAAGAUGCGGACUACCUGCACCAGGACAGAAAGACCCUAUGAAGCUUUACUGUAACUUGAAAUUGAAAUUGGACUUUAUUCGCGCAGUAUAGGUGGGAGGCGUUGAUUGUAAUCUUGCGGGAUUAUUGGAGCCAUCAGUGAGAUACCACUCUUGUAAUGUUAGAUUUCUAACUUUGUAUCAUUAUCUGGUCAAAGAACAGUUUCAGGCGGGCAGUUUGACUGGGGCGGUCGCCUCCUAAACGGUAACGGAGGCGUACAAAGGUUUCCUCUGAACGGUUAGAAAUCGUAUCUAGAGUGUAAAGGCAUAAGGAAGCUUGACUGUGAGACCUACAAGUCGAGCAGGGACGAAAGUCGGUCUUAGUGAUCUGACGGUACUGAGUGGAAAGGCCGUCACUCAACGGAUAAAAGUUACUCUAAGGAUAACAGGCUGAUCUCCCCCAAGAGUUCACAUCGACGGGGAGGUUUGGCACCUCGAUGUCGGCUCAUCGCAUCCUGGGGCGGUAGUACGUCCCAAGGGUUGGGCUGUUCGCCCAUGAAAGCGGUACGCGAGCUGGGUUCAGAACGUCGUGAGACAGUUCGGUCCAUAUCCGGUGUAGGCGUUAGAAUAUUGAGAGGAGCCUUCUUUAGUACGAGAGGACCGAGAAGGACAUACCUCUGGUGUACCAGUUAUCGUGCCAACGGUAAACGCUGGGUAGCUAUGUAUGGAGUGGAUAACCGCUGAAAGCAUCUAAGUGGGAAGCCCACCUCAAGAUAAGUAUUCUCAUC